UACGUAGGGGGCAAGCGUUGUCCGGAUUUACUGGGCGUAAAGAGCGUGUAGGCGGCCAAGCAGGUCCGUUGUGAAAACUGGAGGCUUAACCUCCAGACGUCGACGGAAACCGCGUGGCUAGAGUCCGGAAGAGGCGAGUGGAACUCCUGGUGUAGCGGUGGAAUGCGCAGAUAUCAGGAAGAACACCAACGGCGAAGGCAGCUCGCUAGGACGGUACUGACGCUGAGACGCGAAAGCGUGGGGAGCGAACAGG
rnacentral:rRNA from 1 species